rnacentral:rRNA from 1 species
GCGGCCCACCAAGGCGACGAUCAGUAGCCGGCCGUGAGAGGGCGGACGGCCACAUUGGGACUGAGACACGGCCCAAACUCCUACGGGAGGCAGCAGUGGGGAAUAUUGCACAAUGGGGGAAACCCUGAUGCAGCGACGCCGCGUGAGCGAAGAAGUAUUUCGAUAUGUAAAGCUCUAUCAGCAGGGAAGAAACUGACGGUACCUGACUAAGAAGCACCGGCUAAAUAC